rnacentral:rRNA from 1 species
GACGGAAGGUGCAAGCGUUGCUCGGAAUCACUGGGCGUAAAGGGUGCGUAGGCGGCCGUGCAAGUCUGGCGUGAAAGCCCCGGGCUCAGCCCGGGAAGUGCGCUCGAAACUGCGCGGCUCGAGUGCCGGAGGGGAGAGUGGAAUUCCUGGUGUAGCGGUGAAAUGCGUAGAUAUCAGGAAGAACACCGGUGGCGAAAGCGCUCUGCUAGGCCGCAACUGACACUGAGGGACGAAAGCUAGGGGAGCGAAUGGG